rnacentral:rRNA from 1 species
GGGGGGGGGGGGGGGGGGGGUGGGGGGGGGAGGGGGGGGGGCGGGGGGGUGGGGGCGUGCUCUGACGGGUGGCGAGUGGCGGACGGGGGAGGGAUGCAUCGGAAUCUACUUUUUCGUGGGGGAUAGCGGAGGGGAACUUACGCUAAUACCGCAUACGACCUACGGGUGAAAGCAGGGGGUCUUCGGACCUUGCGCGAUUGAAUGCGCCGAUGUCGGAUUAGCUAGUUGGCGGGGUAACGGCCCACCAAGGCAACGAUGCGUAGCCGACCUGAGAGGGUGAUCGGCCACACUGGAACUGAGACACGGUCCAGACUCCUACGGGAGGCAGCAGUAGGGAAUCUUCCGCAAUGGGCGAAAGCUUGACGGAGCAACGCCGCGUGAGUGAUGAAGGUCUUCGGAUCGUAAAACUCUGUUAUUAGGGAAGAACAAAUGUGUAAGUAACUAUGCACGUCUUGACGGUACCUAAUCAGAAAGCCACGGCUAACUACGUG